CUGGCUCAGGACGACGCUGGCGGCGUGCUUAACACAUGCAAGUCGAACGAUGACGAUGGUGCUUGCACCGUCUGAUUAGUGGCGAACGGGUGAGUAACACGUGAGUAACCUGCCCUCCUCUUCGGGAUAACCGCCGGAAACGGUGGCUAAUACCGGAUAGUGAAAUGCCUGCCGCAUGGUGGGUGUUGGAAAGAUUUAUCGGUGGGGGAUGGACUCGCGGCCUAUCAGUUUGUUGGUGAGGUAAUGGCUCACCAAGGCGAUGACGGGUAGCCGGCCUGAGAGGGCGACCGGCCACACUGGGACUGAGACACGGCCCAGGCUCCUACGGGAGGCAGCAGUGGGGAAUAUUGCACAAUGGGCGAAAGCCUGAUGCAGCGACGCCGCGUGGGGAUGACGGCCUUCGGGUUGUAAACCUCUUUCAGCAGGGAAGAAGCGAGAGUGACGGUACCUGCAGAAGAAGCGCCGGCUAACUACGUGCCAGCCGCCGC
rnacentral:rRNA from 1 species